GGAAUAAUCGGGAAACCGGAGCUAAUACCGGAUAGUUCCAUGAACCGCAUGGUUCAAGGAUGAAAGACGGUUUCGGCUGUCACUUACAGAUGGACCCGCGGCGCAUUAGCUAGUUGGUGAGGUAACGGCUCACCAAGGCGACGAUGCGUAGCCGACCUGAGAGGGUGAUCGGCCACACUGGGACUGAGACACGGCCCAGACUCCUACGGGAGGCAGCAGUAGGGAAUCUUCCGCAAUGGACGAAAGUCUGACGGAGCAACGCCGCGUGAGUGAUGAAGGUUUUCGGAUCGUAAAGCUCUGUUGUUAGGGAAGAACAAGUGCAAGAGUAACUGCUUGCACCUUGACGGUACCUAACCAGAAAGCCACGGCUAACUACGUGCCAGCAGCCGCGGUAAUACGUAGGUGGCAAGCGUUGUCCGGAAUUAUUGGGCGUAAAGGGCUCGCAGGCGGUUUCUUAAGUCUGAUGUGAAAGCCCCCGGCUCAACCGGGGAGGGUCAUUGGAAACUGGGAAACUUGAGUGCAGAAGAGGAGAGUGGAAUUCCACGUGUAGCGGUGAAAUGCGUAGAGAUGUGGAGGAACACCAGUGGCGAAGGCGACUCUCUGGUCUGUAACUGACGCUGAGGAGCGAAAGCGUGGGGAGCGAACAGGAUUAGAUACCCUGGUAGUCCACGCCGUAAACGAUGAGUGAUAAGUGGGAGGGGAGUUUCUCGCCCCUUAGUGCUGCAGCUAACGCAUUAAGCACUCCGCUCAAGGGAAAUACCCCCCCAAGACUGAAACUCAAAGGAAUUGACGGGGGCCCGCACAAGCGGUGGAGCAUGUGGUUUAAUUCGAAGCAACGCGAAGAACCUUACCAGGUCUUGACAUCCUCUGACAACCCUAGAGAUAGGGCUUUCCCUUCGGGGACAGAGUGACAGGUGGUGCAUGGUUGUCGUCAGCUCGUGUCGUGAGAUGUUGGGUUAAGUCCCGCAACGAGCGCAACCCUUGAUCUUAGUUGCCAGCAUUCAGUUGGGCACUCUAAGGUGACUGCCGGUGACAAACCGGAGGAAGGUGGGGAUGACGUCAAAUCAUCAUGCCCCUUAUGACCUGGGCUACUCACGUGCUACAAUGGACAGAACAAUGGGCUGCGAGACCGCAAGGUUUACCCAAUCCCACAAAUCUGUUCUCAGUUCGGAUCGCAUUCUGCAACUCGACUGCGUGACUUUGAAAUCGCUAGUAAUCGCGGAUCUUCAUGCCGCCCCGAAUACGUUCCCGAGACUUGUACACUCCGGCCAUCACAACACGGAGAGUUUG
rnacentral:rRNA from 1 species